CAUCGUUGCAUUCAUCAUUAUUAUCAUCAUCAUCAUCAUCAUCAUCAUUGUAUGAGCCUGCUCCAGCUUCUCCUCCAGCAGUAUUUUCAGCUUCCACUGUGAUCACUGUAUCUGUAAUUCUGCUGUUACUUCUGAUUGGAAUCUCAGUCCUGCUUGUGAUUCUACAGAAAAGACAAAAGAUGAAAGGAGGUACAGCUGCUUCUCACAGGACUUCUGUCCAAAGUUCAGGGAACAACCAAGAGGUUCCUCCUGCUCUCUGUGAGUAUGAGGAGAUUAAAGACACCAGACGACUUUCUGCCUCAGACAAUGGAUUUUCCAUCAUUUACGCUACUCCUCAACUACACACAUUCCCUUCUGAGCUUCCUCAAACUGUUUAUGCAAAUACUGAGUUACCUG